rnacentral:rRNA from 1 species
UGGGGAAUAUUGCACAAUGGGGGAAACCCUGAUGCAGCCAUGCCGCGUGUAUGAAGAAGGCCUUCGGGUUGUAAAGUACUUUCGGUAAUGAGGAAGGUGGUGUAUCUAAUAGGUGCAUCAAUUGACGUUAAUUACAGAAGAAGCACCGGCUAACUCCGUGCCAGCAGCCGCGGUAAUACGGAGGGUGCGAGCGUUAAUCGGAAUGACUGGGCGUAAAGGGCAUGUAGGCGGAUAAUUAAGUUAGGUGUGAAAGCCCUGGGCUCAACCUAGGAAUUGCACUUAAAACUGGUUAACUAGAGUAUUGUAGAGGAAGGUAGAAUUCCACGUGUAGCGGUGAAAUGCGUAGAGAUGUGGAGGAAUACCGGUGGCGAAGGCGGCCUUCUGGACAGAUACUGACGCU